AGCGUCAGAUGUGUAUAAGAGACAGCUAAUACCGAAUACGCUCCCGAUUUUAUCAUUGGGGGGAAAGAUGGCCUCUGCUUGCAAGCUAUCGCUUAAGGAUGAGUCCGCGUCCCAUUAGCUAGUUGGCGGGGUAACGGCCCACCAAGGCAACGAUGGGUAGCCGGUCUGAGAGGAUGACCGGCCACACUGGAACUGGAACACGGUCCAGACUCCUACGGGAGGCAGCAGUGGGGAAUAUUGCGCAAUGGGCGAAAGCCUGACGCAGCGACGCCGCGUGAGGGAUGAAGGUUCUCGGAUCGUAAACCUCUGUCAGGGGGGAAGAAACCCCCUCGUGUGAAUAAUGCGAGGGCUUGACGGUACCCCCAAAGGAAGCACCGGCUAACUCCGUGCCAGCAGCCGCGGUAAUACGGAGGGUGCAAGCGUUAAUCGGAAUCACUGGGCGUAAAGCGCACGUAGGCGGCUUGGUAAGUCAGGGGUGAAAUCCCACAGCCCAACUGUGGAACUGCCUUUGAUACUGCCAGGCUUGAGUACCGGAGAGGGUGGCGGAAUUCCAGGUGUAGGAGUGAAAUCCGUAGAUAUCUGGAGGAACACCGGUGGCGAAGGCGGCCACCUGGACGGUAACUGACGCUGAGGUGCGAAAGCGUGGGUAGCAAACAGGAUUAGAUACCCUGGUAGUCCACGCUGUAAACGAUGAUUACUAGGUGUGGGGGGACUGACCCCUUCCGUGCCGCAGUUAACACAAUAAGUAAUCCACCUGGGGAGUACGACCGCAAGGUUGA
rnacentral:rRNA from 1 species